ACUUGAAAGCACAUGCAGGAUUUUUGGCAACAGGGACGGAAUGUUACUGAAAAUAUAGGCCAUGAUUCAUAUCCAUAUGAGACUCUAAGGGAAAAAUCUGAUUCAGAAAAAAACAGGAAAGCUAAUAAGAAAGAACAAGGGUUUCAAGAACUUGAAUUCAAAGAGAGAUGGGGUUGAUGUCUGUUUUCCUUCAUUUCCACAUAUUACCUGGAUUUCAUAAGCAAAUUUGAUUGUGCAGGCUUCUAGUUUGCAUCUUGAACAUUUCUUCUCUCAUGUCUGCCAAAUUAAA
rnacentral:lncRNA from 1 species